CAAACACAGCCUUUGUAAGACCCUUUAUCCCAGUUUUUAGGCAAUAACCGGGAUAAAAAGUUGAGGUCCAAUGGGCUUCAAAGUGAAAAGAGCCUAGCCAAAACCCUAUCAAUUGAUUUUUUGUUUUCUGCUGCUCCCUUUCUCUUGAAACCUCUCUAUUAUUCCCCUCUCACAGACACAGAGCUUUCCAAACCCUAAGCUCGCAUGAAACCUGAACCAACAAAAAAAGAAAAAAAAUCCUUUCUCUCCAUCUGAAAUUAGCUUCCCAGUCCCUCUCUCUCUUCCUCAAGUCCAUUCAUCUCAUUUUGAAGAUGUUCUUUCGGCAAGUCUGUCAUUGUAUUAGCAGUUCUGAGUAAUGUGGCAAGAGAAGUGCUUGGUUUUCACUAUAGUAGCAAACCUAGCAUUAUUAAGCGAAGGCGCAAUCGAUUAAGUUGAUCAAGCACUGCGAGGAGGCUGAACAACAAUAACUUGUCUGGGUCAUCUUCUUUACCACAAUAAUAAUUAAAAAAAAUCAGCUUGCUUUCUUGUUGAUGACCUAUCCCAAUAUUGUAAGGAAGAACAUCUCUUAUCGCUUCGACAAUAGUGGUUUAAGUCAAUUGCUUCCUUUGAUUUAUAAAUAAUCAGUAGUAUUCUAUUGUAUUUCUUUUAGACAUUUUGUUUAGUAUUUUAGAUAUUUGUACACAAUGUAAAGUAUUGGUUAUUAAUUCAAGUUACUAUUGGUUUCGAAAAUUAUAUUAAUCAUUUAUUUUUUUAGUUAA